ACUACCUGGAAGCUGUUAUCAUGCUGAAGCUAGUCCAGCAGCCUGGAAUUGUGACACACAUGACUGUUGAGGAUUGGGAGGGGAGAAGCCGGAUAGAGAAUGGUGUCUGUGUUGCAGUGAAGGAGCACAAAGUACCGUUGUCACACGAACAGGAACUUUGGUUCGACUUGUACUUCAAUGAGGUGCGGCCAGUAAUGCUGCAAGAAAACUGCACUGGCGAC